UAUGUGAUCGUCUCUCGCAUAUCAAUAAGCGGAGGAAAAGAAACUAACAAGGAUUCCCCUAGUAACGGCGAGUGAAGCGGGAAGAGCUCAAAUUUGAAAUCUUAAAGGGUUUCCCUUUACGAAUUGUAGUUUAAAGAAGUGUUUUCUGUUGAGGUUUUGGUAAAAGUUCUUUGGAAUAGGACAUCAUAGAGGGUGAGAAUCCCGUAUUUGACCUUUACUUUCAACUUUGUGAUACACUUUCAAAGAGUCGGAUUGUUUGGGAAUGCAGUCCAAAAUGGGUGGUAAAUUUCAUCUAAAGCUAAAUAUUGGCGAGAGACCGAUAGCGAACAAGUACCGUGAGGGAAAGAUGAAAAGAACUUUGAAAAGAGAGUUAAACAGUACGUGAAAUUGUCAAAAGGGAAGCGUUUGACACCAGUGUUGUUUUUCUGAAAAUCAAUUAAAGAACUGUUUAUGCUAAGUUGUUUAGACUUUAUCAGCUAUCUGCUUAGUUUUGAGCUUUUCUUUAAUGCACUUUUCAGUUAACAAGUCAACAUCAAUUUCUUUUGCUGUAAAAAAGCUUGAGGAAGGUGGCUUGAGAUUCGUCUCAAGUGUUUAUAGCCUUUUAGCUCCUGCAGUCGGAGAGAUUGAGGUCUGCAGCGUAGAUCCUUCGGGGUUAGAUACAUUGGUGCUAAGCUAUAGCCUUGUAUAGACAACUUGUUGACUAUGCUCAGUCAUGUAGCUUACUCGCUGAUGCUAUUUUACCUACGCUUAGGAUGUUGACGAGACUGUCGAUCUC
rnacentral:rRNA from 1 species